rnacentral:lncRNA from 1 species
AAGAUUAUUGAUGUAAAUUUCAUGUAUUUUAACAGAGAGAAAAGAGAGACUGAUGAAGCAAAUUCCAUAAGAAAACAUAAAGAACGUAAUAAAAAUCAAGCAAAUAUUUAAAACCCACGUAUAACCAGAAAAUAAAAAGAACUUCGAACGAUAAACCCUAUUAAGAGUAAAAGUCUUAAAGCUUUUCCCUAAUUCCUAAUCACUAAAAAUAUCUUGAUUUGCAAAGGUUAUGCUUUGCCUUGAUCGUUGUCCAUCUUUCAUGCUCUUGGGUUUAGAUUCAUGCUUUGAUAUUCAGAUGCACAAUUUCUUCAUCGUUCUCUUUACAUGCCCGCAAGGAACAUUUAACACAAAUACAAGAACCGAAAAGAAAAACAAUGACGGACAUCACCACCAUUAUCCAAAGCAACACUACUACAGUUUCCUCAUAGCGUGAUGUAUCCAUGGUGUUAGCGAAAGGAUUCCAGAAGACUAUAAACCUUGUUGUUUUGCUAAAUCCUGAGAAUGCAGUUAGUGAAAGUUUUUAUAGAGAUACCAACGACGUAUAUAUAGAUCAGGAGAUUUAUUUUACUGUAUCUAAAUAAUUAGUAACAAAUAGUAAAGUCAAACCCCCUCCUCGAUUUUACCAAUCACAUAAAUCGUUUAGAGCAUUCUUAAAGGUAAUAAAAUAAAGUUAUUAUACUUUGUUUUAUUGGAUAAUGAUGAAAAACAUAUCGAAUUGUUUUACUCUGUUUAAAAUAUAAGUAAAUAUUAAUAUUUAUAUAUAUUUACGCUUAUAAUAAGUUGAAAACUCUAUGUAAGAAUUCCUAUUUUCUUAAACUCUUGUUUAUAUACUUAUAAAAGAACUAUUGUUUAUGUUAUAGAUUAUAUUUUGUGUAUUGGUUGGCUACUGGAACUUGGCGAAGUUAUCUGUAGAGCAUAUAUUUUUGAUGAUAUUUAAGAGCAUAUAUUUUUGAUGAUAUUUAAGAGCAUAUCCAUUAACAAAAUAACCUUACCAUAAAAAAAUUCCAUUAACUAAAUAAAAUAAAAUAAAAUCUAGAGUCGAUAAAAGUUCCAUAUUUUCUUUCAUAGAAUUCGUAAUUAAUGUAGGUUGAAUUAGAGCUCGCAGAAAUAAUAUACUAUUAGAAGGCGUAUCACAAUUGUUUUAGUUAUCCCAAUAUAUANNNNNNNNNNNNNNNNNNNNNNNNNNNNNNNNNNNNNNNNNNNNNNNNNNNNNNNNNNNNNNNNNNNNNNNNNNNNNNNNNNNNNNNNNNNNNNNNNNNNGGCGAAGGUGGUCUCCGUCGCAUGCUUAUAUUGCUUGCUCGAAAACACUAAUACUCUAAGCCGAGACGAUUUACAGUGAUUCAGUCUCUUCGAAACAGAGAUCACCAUAUAUAUAUAUUCAUCGCUCAGCUUAGUAUUAAGAAUGGAAUCUGCGGCACCUCCUCCGUUUUUUUCUAAUGCAACGUUGGACGUAAGGCGUGAUCAUAUAAUAGAUCUUGGGAGCAAGUGUAUCAUCUUCAUCAUAUACUUUGUCGGAUUCUAUUUUGUCAUGUGGCUGGUAUUUUUGGAGUGGGUGACUAAUAAUGAUGUUAAUAGGGAAGACAGACGCUUACGUGACAUCGAACUCGGGAGUUUGCCGGCCGGGGAGACCAUCCAGGAGAUUUCAGACGACGACUGAUAUCUAGAGACAGUCACUGAUCUCAUAAAAGAUUAGUAGUUUUUCUUUAGGGGCUUUAAACCUUGCUCUCUUUUUUCGAAACUUGUUUUAUUACAAUGAUUCAUAUGGAAUUUGUAUUCAAUUACUGAUCUCAUGAUUCUUAUGGAAUUUGUAUCCAAUUAUAAUCUUUCAGAUUGUUAUUAUUACAUGGCAUUCUAUACAUAUAAGCGUUCUUAUCAUUGACUUAUUAUAGAAACCAUUGUUAUUAUCUUUAGAUUGACUCUCUCGUUAGUUUUUUUUUUGAACACACUCUAUCGUUAGUUUAUAAUCAUGAAUUAGGCGAAACGAUAUAAAGACGUAGCCAUGUAGGUACAAGCCGUAUGAUAGUUAUAUUGAUGGUAGAAGACGUACCGAGAUCUCGAAUCAAUUUUGGUCGAUCAAGACAAACCGCCUAACAUACCGAUGUUUUCAGUCAAUCCAGAUAUAAUUAUUUCGAUGCCAUCGUUAGAGAGAGGAACUAGUUCGUAUUUGAGGUUUAGAUGGGAUGAUGUUUGAUUCAAAGUGAA